UUUACAUAACUAUUUUUCCCGCCGUCCCAGCUUUAUUUCGUGCAAAUCGAUUUUUCAUGUUUUGCACGAUCUGUUUUCCCGCUCAGUACUCAGUAGUUUGCUAUAUAAUGACUAAAUUAUAAUUGACAUAUUGCAAUGCACUGGACGUUAUACAGGUCACUAUGACGGUGACAGACAAAUUAUAUUUGUCAUAAAAUUACAGCUUGUACAAGCUUCUUAUUUGAGGACACACCCGAAGAUGACACGGGCCCUCCACACGUAUGUCCAUGGCUAAAGGGUGACGCAUGCCCUUGUUCAGGAUCCUAUCAACUGUGCCAACACUGUAGGAAGUACAGUUACGCUUGAUAAGAUUUUAUACAAGACGCCCGCCAUUGUGACGAAUUUUGGUCAACAACGCCACCACUUUAUUGAUACAUAAUGACAGAGACUUUACGGGAGAAAUAGACUGAGAUACGUUGAUAGUGUUUGUUUGCGCAGUGACUUUUCAUAUAUAAUCAUUUUUCAUUUAUAAAUAUUCAUUUAUUGUAAAUAAAUUUGUAUAUAUUUUUC